GAUGAACGCUGGCGGCGUGCCUAAUACAUGCAAGUCGAGCGAACAGAUAAGGAGCUUGCUCCUUUGACGUUAGCGGCGGACGGGUGAGUAACACGUGGAUAACCUACCUAUAAGACUGGGAUAACUUCGGGAAACCGGAGCUAAUACCGGAUAACAUAUUGAACCGCAUGGUUCAAUAGUGAAAGGCGGCUUUGCUGUCACUUAUAGAUGGAUCCGCGCCGUAUUAGCUAGUUGGUAAGGUAACGGCUUACCAAGGCAACGAUCCGUAGCCGACCUGAGAGGGUGAUCGGCCACACUGGAACUGAGACACGGUCCAGACUCCUACGGGAGGCAGCAGUAGGGAAUCUUCCGCAAUGGGCGAAAGCCUGACGGAGCAACGCCGCGUGAGUGAUGAAGGUCUUCGGAUCGUAAAACUCUGUUAUCAGGGAAGAACAAAUGUGUAAGUAACUGUGCACAUCUUGACGGUACCUGAUCAGAAAGCCACGGCUAACUACGUG
rnacentral:rRNA from 1 species